AAAAAAAAAAAAAAAAAAAAAGAGAUACAUGAGCACACAUUCCAUUAGCUAUAAAGGAGAAAACAUGGUGUCACUUAACCUCUGGAAAACAGAACUGUGUACUGAGAACGAGAGAAAGACAAAUGCCUUUUAAAAUUUUUUAAAUUUAUGAUUGAUGCAUAAUUGUACUUUUAAAAAAAGUGUACAAUUUGGUAAAACUGGAUUAUACAGCUAUAAACCACUCCAAUCAAGAUAACAUUUACUGCCCCCAAAAGUUUCCAUGUGCUCUAUUAUGAUCCCUCUGGCGAGUCCUGUCAAUCACUGAUAAAUUUUAUUACUAUAGAUUAGCUUACAUUUUCUAAAAUAUAUAAAACAAUGCCAUCUGUACUUUUUCUCUAUGUCUUUCACUCAAAAUUACUUGGAGAUUCAUCUGGUGUGUGCAUUCGUAAUUCGUUCCUUUUUUAUUGCCGAGGAGUAUACAAUUUGUUUCUCCACUUACCUGCUGUUGGAGAUUUGGGCUAUUUCCAGUUUUUGGCUGUUGCAAAAAAAGCAACCUCACAUCCUUUUAAAGGAUGUCAGGUACUUUCAGGUAACCCUAGACUGCACUUUGCGUACCACUGCUCUCUAUCCUAGCAGGCACACUGACAGAUACUUAAACCUUUUAAUAGUGUGAAACAAUUUUCUUUUAAAAAAAAUUAUCUAAUUUUUACAUAUUUUACUCUAGUCUCAUGACAGAUUACAUUUUCUUUUUUAAAUGGAAAGUCUUACUGUAAAGCCCACAUCUGUAUGAAACAUGAAAGAAUGGUCUGGUUGAUGUGGAUGUGUGGAACCUAAGAACCCUCUCUUGGAUUUUCUCUAAUUCCCCAAAAACCUCUUUUUUAAGAAUUUCCUCCAAAGAGCUACUCAGGAUAGUUUGAAAAGCAGUGGACAAGCCAUCCUAGCUGUCUUGAUACUACAGAAGCAAAGAUGCUUUACGGCGAUAUAGCUCCUGUAACAGUUUGAAGUCUGCUGUCACAUGUUGUGAACUUCCAUCUCUUGCAGUUUUUAGGCACUGCUGUGGAAGUUUCGGUGGUGCAUGGGUCUGACGAAGCCAGGAGAGAUGGAAAGGGAAACGGUAAACGGUUUCAUAGCCUUCCAAGACCACACUGGCACAGUCAGUCAUGUGAUCUUCAAGCAGCAACGAAAGAAAGAGCUGGAGAAAUUUGAGCCAUGUGUCCUGAGCUCCGAAAGGCAGCCAUCACCUUGGCCCCGAGCAUACACCACGUUUGGCUCGCUCCCCUUGGCCAGGCACCAUAGCUACUGUCCCUGUGACCAGCAGGCCCUCCAGGAUGAAGACCUUUAAGGAUCUAAGAGUACUGUGACUGUUAACUGCUAACAUGAUUCGUGUACGGUCACCUUGAAGUAAACCAGACUAGUUGUUUUCAUGCUGUCUAA